ACUACCGAUUGAAUGGUUUAGUGAGGCCUUCUGAUUGGCGCCGCCGCCCCGGCAACGGAGUAGCGGAUGCCGAGAAGUUGGUCAAACUUGAUCAUUUAGAGGAAGUAAAAGUCGUAACAAGG
rnacentral:rRNA from 1 species